GACGAACGCUGGCGGCGUGCUUAACACAUGCAAGUCGAACGGAAAGGCCCUGCUUGCAGGGUACUCGAGUGGCGAACGGGUGAGUAACACGUGGGUGAUCUGCCCUGCACUUCGGGAUAAGCUUGGGAAACUGGGUCUAAUACCGGAUAGGAGCCAUCUUUAGUGUGGUGGUUGGAAAGUUUUUUCGGUGUAGGAUGAGCUCGCGGCCUAUCAGCUUGUUGGUGGGGUAAUGGCCUACCAAGGCGGCGACGGGUAGCCGGCCUGAGAGGGUGUACGGCCACAUUGGGACUGAGAGACGGCCCAGACCCCUACGGGAGGCAGCAGUGGGGAAUAUUGCACAAUGGGCGCAAGCCUGAGGCAGCGACGCCGCGUGGGGGAUGAAGGCCUUCGGGUUGUAAACUCCUUUCGCUAGGGACGAAGCUUUUUUGUGACGGUACCUAGAUAAGAAGCACCGGCUAACUACGUG
rnacentral:rRNA from 1 species